GACGAACGCUGGCGGCGUGCUUAACACAUGCAAGUCGAACGGAAAGGCCCUGCUUUUGUGGGGUGCUCGAGUGGCGAACGGGUGAGUAACACGUGAGUAACCUGCCCUUGACUUUGGGAUAACUUCAGGAAACUGGGGCUAAUACCGGAUAGGAGCUCCUGCUGCAUGGUGGGGGUUGGAAAGUUUCGGCGGUUGGGGAUGGACUCGCGGCUUAUCAGCUUGUUGGUGGGGUAGUGGCUUACCAAGGCUUUGACGGGUAGCCGGCCUGAGAGGGUGACCGGCCACAUUGGGACUGAGAUACGGCCCAGACUCCUACGGGAGGCAGCAGUGGGGAAUAUUGCACAAUGGGCGGAAGCCUGAUGCAGCAACGCCGUGUGCGGGAUGACGGCCUUCGGGUUGUAAACCGCUUUCGCUCAUGACGAAGCUUUGUGUGACGGUAGUGGGUAAAGAAGCACCGGCUAACUACGUG
rnacentral:rRNA from 1 species